AGGGAGUUUGAUCCUGGCUCAGAACGAACGCUGGCGGCGCGUCUUAAGCAUGCAAGUCGAGCGGUAAGUUGGAAGCUUGCUUCUAACCUAGAGCGGCGGACUGGUGAGUAACGCGUGGGUGACGUACCUUUGUGACGGGGACAGCUCCUAGAAAUAGGAGAUAAUACCGGAUACGCUGUAUGUUGUCAGAGGACAUACAGGAAAGGAUCUUUUGAUUCGCACAGAGAGCGGCCCGCGUACUAUUAGCUGGUUGGUGAGGUAACGGCCCACCAAGGCGACGAUAGUUACCCGGCCUAAGAGGGUGAUCGGGCACAUUGGGACUGAGAUACGGCCCAGACUCCUACGGGAGGCAGCAGCUAAGAAUAUUCCGCAAUGGACGAAAGUCUGACGGAGCGACGCCGCGUGGAUGAUGAAGGCCGGAAGGUUGUAAAAUCCUUUUAUGACUGAGGAAUAAGUGAAGUGAGAGAAACGCUUCAUGGUGACUGUAGGUCAUGAAUAAGCAACGGCUAAUUACGUGCCAGCAGCCGCGGUAACACGUAAGUUGCGAGCGUUGUUCGGAAUUAUUGGGCGUAAAGGGUAUGUAGGCGGUUCUGCAAGUCUGGUGUGAAAUUCCGGGGCUCAACCCCGGGACUGCGUUGGAAACUGCAGGACUUGAAUCGCUGAGGGGCAGCCAGAAUUCCAGGUGUAGGGGUGAAAUCUGUAGAUAUCUGGAAGAAUACCAAUGGCGAAGGCAGGCUGCCAGCAGAUGAUUGACGCUGAGGUACGAAGGUGCGGGGAGCAAACAGGAUUAGAUACCCUGGUAGUCCCCU
rnacentral:rRNA from 1 species